UACGUAGGGUCCAAGCGUUAAUCGGAAUUACUGGGCGUAAAGCGUGCGCAGGCGGUUCUGAAAGUCAGCUGUGAAAGCCCCGGGCUUAACCUGGGAAUGGCGGUUGAAACUACAGGACUAGAAUCUGGCAGAGGGGGGUGGAAUUCCACGUGUAGCAGUGAAAUGCGUAGAGAUGUGGAGGAACACCGAUGGCGAAGGCAGCCCCCUGGGCUGAGAUUGACGCUCAGGCACGAAAGCCAGGGGAGCAAACGGG
rnacentral:rRNA from 1 species